ACGAACGCUGGCGGCGUGCUUAACACAUGCAAGUCGAACGGAAAGGCCCUGCUUUUGUGGGGUGCUCGAGUGGCGAACGGGUGAGUAACACGUGAGUAACCUGCCCUUGACUUUGGGAUAACUUCAGGAAACUGGGGCUAAUACCGGAUAGGAGCUCCUGCUGCAUGGUGGGGGUUGGAAAGUUUCGGCGGUUGGGGAUGGACUCGCGGCUUAUCAGCUUGUUGGUGGGGUAGUGGCUUACCAAGGCUUUGACGGGUAGCCGGCCUGAGAGGGUGACCGGCCACAUUGGGACUGAGAUACGGCCCAGACUCCUACGGGAGGCAGCAGUGGGGAAUAUUGCACAAUGGGCGGAAGCCUGAUGCAGCAACGCCGCGUGCGGGAUGACGGCCUUCGGGUUGUAAACCGCUUUCGCCUGUGACGAAGCGUGAGUGACGGUAAUGGGUAAAGAAGCACCGGCUAAUUACGUG
rnacentral:rRNA from 1 species